rnacentral:tRNA from 1 species
AGUAGAGUAUCCAAGUUUUGGUCAAAGGAGAUAGGUUUAGGACCUAUUGAAUUAGUUUCUUCAUGGGUUCAAAUCCCAUCUCUACUA